rnacentral:rRNA from 1 species
AAUAGGAAAUUUAAGAGCAUAUGGUGGAUGCCUAGGCUUCUGAGAAGCGAUGAAGGACGUUGUGUAGCAACGAUAUGAUCGGGGAGCCGCUGAACAGGCGUUAAUCCGGUCGUUUCCGAAUGAGGCAACUCCUCUGGUAGAGAUACCAGAGACAUUCAUGCUUGACAUGAAUGAGCGUACCCUGGGAAGUAAAACAUUUCAGUACCAGGAGGAAGAGAAAACAAUGUCGAUGUAUGUCGACAACAUUUCGUUAGUAGUGGCGAGCGAAAGCGAAAUAGCCCAAACUCGGUCUUAAUCGCGGAUUAUGUCGCAAGACGUAGGACGCGAUUAAGAUCGGGGGUAGUAAGGUGGCAGUGUCACUAUUUAUAGUGGAAAGAGUUACAAAGUGUUUCGUUAGCGUAAUUGUCUGGAAAGACAGACCCCAGAGGGUGAUAGUCCCGUGCGCGAAAGCGAAACACCUCUUUUAUUGCCAUUCUUGAGUACCUCAGGACACGAAUAGCCUGAGGGAAUCUGGCGGAACUAACCGCUAAGGCUAAAUAUUCCAGAAGACCGAUAGUGAACAAGUACCGUGAGGGAAAGGUGAAAAGUAUCCCGGAGAGGGAGGUGAAAUAGAACUGAAACCAUAUGCUUACAAGGAGUCGGAGCGGUAAUUUAUUACCGUCACGGCGUGCCUAUUGAAGAAUGAGCCAACGAGUUGAUGCGUGCUGCAAGGCUAAGGGCUUGAAUGCCCGGAGCCGCAGGGAAACCGAGUGUGAAUAGCGCGACAAAGUAGUACGUAUCAGACCCGAAGCCGGGUGAGCUUGCCAUGUGCAGGUUGAACUCUGUCGAAAGAUAGAGGAAGGACCGAACGCUAGAGACGUGCAAUACUCUGCGAUGACAUGUGGUAUGGAGUGAUAAGCUCAUCGAACUCGGUAAUAGCUGGUUCUCUCCGAAAUAUGUUUUGGCAUAGCGUCGUUCGUUCCCAGAGGGGGUAGAGCACUGGAAGAUUCUGACAGGUCGAAAGAUCGCAGAACCUAUCAAACUCCGAAUACCUCUGGUCAAAAGAACGGCAGUAAGUCUGUGGGGGCUAAGCUCCAUUAGACAAAAGGGAAACAGCCCGAAUCUCAAUUUAAGGUCCCAAAAUUCAUGCUAAGUACAAGGGAGGUGGUGGAUUUUCUUCGACGGUGAGGAUGUUGGCUUAGAAGCAGCCAUCAUUUAAAGAAAGCGUAACAGCUCACUCACUUAGAGAGUCUGCGCCGCAGAUGAUCGGGGUUAAAGCAUGAUACCGAAACUGAGGAUUGCAUCUAUAUUCGUAUAGAUGUUCUGGUAGGAGAGUAUUCUCUUCGCGCUGAAGGCAAAGGGGUGACCCAUGCUGGAGCGUAGAGAAGUAAGAAUGUUGGCACAAGUAACCACAAUGCGGAUGGGAUAUCCGCACGCCGAAAGAUUAAGGUUUCCUUCGCAAUGGAUAUCAGCGAAGGGUUAGUCGGGCCUAAGGGGAUGGCGAAAGCCGUACCUGAUGGACACACGGUUAAUAUUCCGUGACUCACACCCGGUGCGAUGGGAUGACGGAGCACAGUAUGCGUAGCCCCUUAUUGGAUUGGGGUCUUUGGUCAGAGGGCGUUUGCGAGGAAAAUCCCGCAAGCAGCUAUUCAAUUAGCGAGCCUAAAGACAGGAGGGAAGCCGUAGCUUGCUACGGGGAACUAUGCAAAGCGCGCUUUCAAGAAAAGUCUCUAAGCACAACCGGAGGUGAUCCGUACCGAAAACCGAAACAGGUGAUCACGUCGAGAAGACGAAGGCGAACGAGUGAAGGUACUUCAAGGAACUCGGCAAAAAAGCAGCCGUAAGUUAGCGAUAAGGCUUGCCCUUUGUUUACUCAAGGGGCCGCAGCUAAAGUAUGCCUGGCGACUGUUUAUCAAAAACACAGCUCCCUGCGAACUCGUAAGAGGAUGUAUAGGGGGUGACACUUGACCAAUGCCAGAAGGUCAACCAUUUGCGGUGCGAUUAUAUCAAGCUGAUGAAUGUAAGCCCUGGUGAAUGUCGGCGGUAACUAUAACCGUCCUAAGGUUCUGCAUCUUUCUUCGGAAGGAUGCAGAAGGACUGGGACGGAUCUAUAGUUGUGUUGAUAAAUAAGAGCCUAAUAGAAAUUACACAGAUAGCUACCUGAGGUGGCAGUAAUGCACCGUCAGUCCGUACGCGGUCAAAUAGAGACCAACGCCGCGCAGCCUACUCCCUUAAAAGAGAGGCUGAAGAUAGAGUCCAACUCUGAGGAAUAGUUGAGCGCAAUUCCUUGUCAGGUAAGUUCUGACGCGUUGAAUAGUGUAACGUCUGGGCAACUGUCUCGAAGUACAGCUCGGUGAAAAUACAAUCCCGGUGAAGAUGCCGGGUACCUGCAGUUAGACGAAAAGACCCUAGAAGCUUUACUACAGCUUGAUAUUGAGCAUACGAUUGCGAUGCGUAGCAUAGACGUGAGACUUUGAAGUGCGGUUUCGGCCAGCAUGGAGUCGCCAGUGAAAUAGCGUUCUUCGCCGUUGUAUGUUCUAACCCCGAGGGCAAAAACCGCGGGAGACAGUAUCUGGUGGGUAGUUUUAGUGGGGCGCUAUCCUCCUAAAAAGUAACGGAGGAGCCUAUUAAGGUAAGUUAGCCGCGAAUGGAAACCGUGGCGAUAGUGUAUGGGCAUAAACUUGCUUAACUGUAAGACGUACUUGUCGAGCAGAUGCGAAAGCAGAGCUAAGUGAACCGACCUUACGCAUUAGAUGCGGGGGAAGAUUAUCGGACAAAAGCUACUCUAGGGAUAACAGGCUCGUUCCGCCUAAGAGUUCAUAUCGACGGCGGAGUUCGGCACCUCGAUGUCGGCUCGUCUUAUCCUGGGGCUGGAGAAGGUCCCAAGGGUUUGGCUGUUCGCCAAUUAAAAAGGCACGUGAGCUGGGUUCAGACCGUGGAGAACAUAAUCGAAAGAUUAUAGGCUCUACAGUCUGAAUCCCUCGGACAUCAAGGACAAACAAACGAGACACAACCAAUCACGGCGGUCAUGAAGGGCAACUUUCAUGUACGUCAUCAACUAAUAUCGGUAAAACCCACAAUGGAGAUGAUUGGGGGCAAUACCGAGGAAAGGGAGCGCGGGUUCCCGUCCGUAGAGACUACACGUUGAUCUCCUUAUGAAUAAAUAAAUAAGGAUGAAGAUAUAGUCCAUUCCGCAUGGCAACAUGCGAAAAGAAGCGUGAGACAGGUUGGUCUCCUAUCUACUGCAGGCGUUGAUUCUUGAGGAGCUUUGCUUCUAGUACGAGAGGACCGAAGUGAACGGACCGCUGGUCUAUCUGCUGUCACGCCCGUGGCAACGCAGAGUAGCUAUGUCCGGAAGGGAUAACCGCUGAAAGCAUCUAAGCGGGAAGCCCACUCCAAGAUAAGGAAUCGUUUGAGGGCCCUAGAAGACUACUAGGUUGAUAGGCUUUAGGUGUAAGCACAGUAAUGUGUUAAGCCGAGAAGUACUAAUUACCCGAUCUUAUU